AACGAACGUUGGCGGCGUGGAUUAGGCAUGCAAGUCGUACGAGUUUCAUCUGGGUAACUGGAUGCAAAAAGUGGCGAAAGGGGCAGUAAGGCAUGGAUAAUCUACCCUGAUGACCGGGAUAGCUGUCCCAACGGGCAGGUAAUACCGGAUGAGCUGGUGGGGCCGCAUGGUUCUGCCAGGAAAGGCGCAAGCCGUGUCGGGAGGAAUCCAUGUGAUAUUAGCUAGUUGGUGAGGUAAAGGCUCACCAAGGCGAAGAUGUCUAGCGGGUGGGAGGGCACGAACCGCGCCGUUGGCACUGAGGCACUGGCCAGAAUCCUACGGGAGGCUGCAGGCGAGGAUCUUUGGGAAUGGGCGAAAGCCUGACCGAGCGACGCCGCGUGAGCGAUGAAGGCCAUUAGGUUGUAAAGCUCUGUCGAGGGGGAACAAGCCGCAAGGUUGAGUGAUCCCUGGAGGAAGCACGGGCUAAGUUCGUG
rnacentral:rRNA from 1 species